rnacentral:rRNA from 1 species
UGGGGAAUAUUGCGCAAUGGGCGAAAGCCUGACGCAGCCACGCCGCGUGAGUGAUGAAGGUUUUCGGAUCGUAAAACUCUGUGGAGGGAGAAGAAUAAAGCUAGUGAAGAGCUAGCCUUGACGGUAUCCCUUUAGCAAGCACCGGCUAACUCCGUGCCAGCAGCCGCGGUAAUACGGAGGGUGCUAACGUUGCUCGGAAUCAUUGGGCGUAAAGCGCGCGUAGGCGGUUUGGUAAGUUGGGUGUGAAAGCCCUGGGCUCAACCCAGGAAGUGCACCCAAAACUACCAGACUUGAAUCUCGGAGGGGGCCAGAGAAUUCCCGGUGUAGAGGUGAAAUUCGUAGAUAUCGGGAGGAAUACCAGUGGCGAAGGCGCUGGCCUGGACGAUGAUUGACGCUGAGGUGCGAAAGCGUGGGGAGCGAACAGG